GCCCAAAGGAAUGAAACAAAAAACAUGAAAAAAUGUGGGCCAAUCCAAAGGGAAAUGGCAUACUAUAAAAGAGAGUAAGAUUUCCAUUUGCAUCCUCUUUGUCUCCUCCGCCUCUUACACAGUAGCUUUGAGGAACAAAAUGUCCUCAAGUUGUGAAUUAUUUAUGUGUAUCUCCUGACCUCCUUUACUCUGAUAAUUCGAAGCUCGCAGCAUGGUAAACUUCGGUGGUGCAGUGGAUCUGAUGCCAAGUCCUGAGCUAUUGCUUGGAAAAUGUAAGCACAUCUCCAUACUUUUCAUUUUUGCCUUACUCCACACUGAUUUGAGACGGACAUAGAUAUUCCAAGACAACCUCUCCGUAUCUGAUUUGAUCGACUUCGUUUUUGCUGGUGGAGCUUUUUGUAAGCUGACAUAGCUAGGACUAUUGUUUUCUUCACAGUUAUGUAUGCCUGUAUAGUGGAAAAAUUUGAUGUACAUAGCAUAACUGUGUUCCUUGUUAAUCUCUUUUAUCCCUCCCCUGAUGUGUUGCUUGUACUGUUAUCUUCCUUGUUUUAAUCCGUAGUGAUGGAAUUUCUGCUU